rnacentral:misc_RNA from 1 species
CUAAGCAAGUUGAAAAACUGCUAAACCCUUGUGAACAUACCUGUAUAGUUGCUUCGGCGGACAGCCCCAGGGCGGGGCCGUAGCCUUUUAUAGGUGUCCGCCGACAGCAUCAAAACUCGUUAUUUUACAGUUAUUCUGAGUUAUUAAAACAAUAAGUCA